rnacentral:misc_RNA from 1 species
CUGCCCUCAAGCACGGCUUGUGUGUUGGGUGCGGUCCCCCCGGGGACCUGCCCGAAAGGCAGCGGCGACGUCCGUCGGGUCCUCGAGCGUAUGGGGCUUUGUCACUCGCUCGGGAUGGACCUGCGGGAGUUGGUCACACCACCUAAUUUUACCAC